CUGAGCAGGACAUGCCAUGUCUGUCAGCACAGAUCUAAUGCCACAACUCCCAGACAACAGAGACACAGGAAACUAAAGGUUUACCAUUGGCAGGAGCUGCCUCCAUGUCAGGGGACACAGGCUCGUCAAGGCAUAUAAUCUCCAAACUCAGCCUGCAGUGCUAACGCAGCAAGAAACAAUGCAGUCUCCUCAUUACAGUACACUCUGUCCUCCAGAACGUCCCUCCUCAGCUGGAGAUAGUACUGGUGUUGUCUCGGAAUCCAAAGACAGUCUGCGGGUCUCUCCUGAAGCUCCGUUCCCCUCUGUAUAACCAGGAUAUGGUCCACGUUUACCUGCUCAACAGAGACCUGAUCACUACUGACACUGUCUUGGAGGACGUCCUCUACCAGUUGUUUGAUGACUUUGUUGGGAGGAGGCAGCAGAGAUGCUUUGUGGUGUGAUUCACACACCUCCAAGAUAGAGUUGAGGUUGGCUCGUCGAUGGGCCAUGUCCUCACACAUGCUCAGGAGAAGGCAGUUCAGAGAGUCACUUAGCUGAAUGGGCUGAACGAGCAGAAAAAAAGUUUAUUUUCAGAUUGAAGGAAAGGUCUAAGAGAGAUUCAGCUGAGCCCAGCAGGAGCGACCACACCUCGUCCUCUUCCAGCGGUCCUCCUCUGGCUUCCAGCACCUCAGCAAGGGUCACAAACGUGCUGCUCAUCCUGCGGAAUCGAGAGACAGAUACCUGAGAAGGAGAGACACAAGCUAACUGGCUGAUGGAGGUGGAGAGAAAUCUGUUGAAAGAGGAGGAUGGAGCCUAAACAAAGUGAUCAGCAGGGGACUCUUGAGCUCAUUGUUUCAUAACAAUAUUGUGUAAUAUACAUGAUUUAUAAUUUGUGAUGUGUAAAUCUAAAUCUGUCUGCAAUUAUCUAUUUUUGUCUUUUGCUGACCUCAUUCCAGCUAUCAACUUCAUUUCUAACUUCAUAGGACACACAUAAAUAUACUUCUUCA